CCUUAGUGGGUCAUGAUGUCCUUGACCACUCUCUCUCCUUAGCCACUUUUAAAUGUAUUAACUAAAGGAGAGAAGAAGCGUUGAUGGUAUAUAUGGAAUGUGGGGUAAAGAAGGGUAUCUACACAGCCCAGGGGCUGACCUGCAGGAGCCUGUGGACUUGGCUCUCAGUCACACAUUGAACAGGGGGAAGACUCUGGAUCUUCUACCAACAUACGCAAACUGUGCACUGAAGUCAAGUGCUGAUGACGUGAGUUGAGUCCAGGGGAUGCAGGCCAAGGAUUGUCGGUCACAGCUGCAAACUUCCCCUUCAUAUCCUUGAGCUGAUUAGUCCCCAGAUCAACCAAUAAAGUCAAGUCAUAUGCUUUGUUCA
rnacentral:lncRNA from 12 species